rnacentral:tRNA from 1 species
GCGUCGAUAGCAUAACGGUAGUGCUCGCCUACUACGCAGGUGGUCCGGGGCUCAAUUCCCGGCCGAUGCA